GUGCAUGGCCAUACCAUCCUGAAUGCACCUGAUCUCGUCUAUGAUGAAAGAUAAACAGGGUGGGAUCUGGUAAGUAUUUGGAUGGGAGCCAAGAGUUCCCUCCCCAUUUAGGAAGUUCCCCUGCCCUUUACC
rnacentral:rRNA from 1 species